rnacentral:rRNA from 1 species
UACGAAGGGGGCUAGCGUUGUUCGGACUGACUGGGCGUAAAGCGCCCGCAGGCGGCCGCGCGCGUGGGGUGUGAAAGCUCUCGGCUUAACUGAGAGAGGCCAUCCCAUACGGCGCGGCUCGAGCCGUCCAGAGGCCGGUGGAAUUGCCGGUGUAGUGGUGAAAUGCGUAGAGAUCGGAAGGAACACCAGUGGCGAAGGCGGCUACCUGGCCUAAUACUGACACUGAGGCACGAAAGCGUGGGGGAAGCAAACAGGG